AGAGAAAUACGUUUCAUUCUAACGUAAUUUGGAGAGAAAUACGUUUGAGUCAAACGUAACUGCAAAUUGCAUUUUAGGUCUGGGGGAACGUAAUUUUUGUGAUACAGGGUUGCACAAAGAGAACGACCUGGAGCCCAAGAGCCGGAGUCUCGUCGGCUUAAAGCUAUUAUAUUUCUUUUGGACGGGAAACACUCCGUCGCUUCUCCUCAAGGGGAGUCGGAUGAGAGGAGUGCUACGUUCCCACUUUUCGAUGCCGAGUAGGCUACGAAGCAGCAAGCUCGUUAGCUUAGCGCAGACUAAACGUAGCGGGGGAGAGCUAGCGUGGCUCUACGUGAAGGUGACGCAAUCACACAACGGACAAAAAAGGCUUUAGUGAGACUUUUCUAUCACUCUUUACCAGGCACGUGCACAGAUAGACCCCUAGUGGUGCCCUUUUUGCUGGAGACACAUUUUUCUCAUUCAUCGGUAUUUAAGAAUAAAAGUUACUCUCUCUGUCAUCAAGUCCCCAAAAAUGUGUUUUAAUAUCCAACGGGGUAUUUAUUUGAGUUCUUGUGAGAAUUUCUCCCCGACAUGCUCCGCGGCGCUCACGGCAUUGGGUGUCCUUUUUUUGUGUUUGAGCACCUGCCCCCCACAAUGUCCGCACAUGCCUGCUUGAGAGCCCCGACACUAGUGAAGCUGCCCUCAACCUGCGUUUCCUCUGGGCAGGAUUACACAGCUAGCUUACAUUUUCUUUAUGAAUAAAGAUGAAUUAUUAUAUGGCAACAACAGUACAAGCGUUCUGAUUGGCUAAUGGGCCACUUCGUUGCACGACAUGAGACCAACAGCCAACUAUCCAGCGUCAGUAUUACAGCCAAACAAACGGUAAAUAACAAUGUUCGACAACACGUGGUGCUUGUUGUCAAAUCUAAGAGCCAAUCAGCUCUCUGAUGUGGCCACGGCCAGCCGUUGGUUUCCCAUCAUGCAACGAGUGGAGUCAACGGUUUUCCGUUGAGUUAGUGAAUAUGUGAAACGUCGAAGUACGAGGAGGAACGUUGGAGUUUGAUAGAGGAGCGACAACGGAACGGGACGCCAUUUCAACAUAGAAGUUACAACGAGCAGGUUGGUUCUCUUUGUUUCUUUAUCACUUUAAACUGAUGGAACCAGUUCUGGAGGAAGUAUUCACAUCAUGUACUGAGGUAGAGUUCCAGGUACUGCAGUACGUAAACACGUCCAUACCUUUUUACUAUGAUACAUCACAAAUGUACUCGUUACCUCAGAGGUACAUAUUGUACUUUUUACUGGACGACACCUCAGAGGUACAUAUUGUACUUUUUACUGAACUACUGGUAAUAUAAAACUGAAUUAUUGAAGGGACUGUUAUGUUCAAGCUCCUGCAAAUUCACAUUUAUUUAGCCUGAUAUUAAUUGCUUAGACUUGUUAAAUAUUUCCACUCUGUAAUGAUAUUACUGUUACACUACACUUAUUUAGCUUCAUAUUUAUUGCUUAUACUGUUUAUAUUUCCUCUCUGUUUCUGAUAUAAGACAUUUUUCUAGCUUCUUAUUCAUUUCUUAGACUGUUAAAUAAGUGACACACAGUUGUCUCCAGGAGAAAUGCUGAGGCGGUUGGUGAAGCAGCAAGUCGACGAGGUCGUUGACGAGGCUUUUGAGCAGUUGGACACGUUGAUAGCAGCGUAUGAGGACAUCGUUUCUCGUUUAGGAGAACAUGAGCUACACACAUCAGACGUCCAGCAGAUGUUGGUGAUGAAACAAGAGGCUCCCCCUGAACAGCAGGACUGCAGCUCCAGUCUGGACCAGGAGGACCCAGAGGAAGAGGAAGAGGAAGAGACACCGAAGAGACACUCUGGAGCCAAAACAGGAGUGAAACCAAUCAGUUGUUCAGUUUGUGGUAAAACAUUCAGACAUGUACGCAGUCUGAAACGACACGCAGCUGUUCAUACAGGGGGGAAUCUAUGCAGUUGUUCAGUUUGUGGUAAAACAUUCAGUCAAGCAUGCAGUCUAAAACGACACUCAACUAUUCACACAGAGGAGAAACUAUUCAGUUGUUCAGUUUGUGGUAAAACAUUCAGAGAAGCACGCACUCUGACACGACACUCAGCUGUUCAUACAGGGGGGAAUCUAUGCAGUUGUUCAGUUUGUGGUAAAACAUUCAGUCAAGCAUGCAAUCUAAAACGACACUCAACUAUUCACACAGAGGAGAAACUAUUCAGUUGUUCAGUUUGUGGUAAAACAUUCAGAGAAGCACGCAAUCUGAAACGACACUCAGCUGUUCAUUCUGGAAAAACAAAUUAGCGUUCAGUUUUCUAUAAAAGUUUCCCUCUUCUCCAUGAUUUAAAAAUAUCACAAUUGCAUUGAUGAGAUCAUAAGAAAUAAAUGAGACGGUGUUGUUGUUGAUGUUGUUAGCAGAGUUGUUGUUCAUGAUAAGGUUGAAGAAGUUUUCUUGCUUGGGUUGCUGCAAGUCUUGAACCUAUAUGAUAUAUAUAUUAUUUUUGUGGCUUUUAUUUCUGUUAAUUUUUGCUGUUUAUUAUUGACAAUGUGCAACUGUUUAAAGACUAAAUACUUGCAACGUCGAUAUCGCUGUUUCCACAACUUCCGGCGAUGGCUCGAGUGCUGAGCGGUACACACCAGAGAGACCGCGGGGAGACAUGACGGUGGAGACCUCCGUAAGAGGUGGUCUUGUAAAAGUAUUACUCCUUUAUGAUUUAACUAUAAUAUUCUGAAAUACCUGGCUUCAUGCUUUAAUUGUUUUGACUCGUCUUUAUCUAUUGUUAUUUAUUUUUGUAUUGUGUCUUUAUGUAAAGCCUCAAUGUUCUUUAUUUACAUGCCUAAAGGUAAGUUUAUGAUAAUAAACACAUUAUUAUAAACAGAGUAUUUUUGCCACAGCUGAAGCUGAAGUUUUGUGAUGGUCUAAAAAUAAUAAUAAAAUACUCUGCUUUAAAUGGUAA